UACAGAGGUCCCAAGCGUUGUUCGGAUUCACUGGGCGUAAAGGGUGCGUAGGCGGUCGGGUAAGUCUGGCGUGAAAUCUCCAAGCCUAACUUGGAAACUGCGUUGGAUACUAUCCGGCUCGAGGAAUGGAGGGGAGACUGGAAUACUUGGUGUAGCAGUGAAAUGCGUAGAUAUCAAGUGGAACACCAGUGGCGAAAGCGGCUCACUGGACCAUAACUGACGCUGAUGCACGAAAGCUGGGGGAGCAAACAGG
rnacentral:rRNA from 1 species